rnacentral:rRNA from 1 species
AGAGUUUGAUCCCGGCUCAGAGUGAACGCUGGCGGCGUGCCUAACACAUGCAAGUCGAACGAGAACGGACUUAAGCUUGCUUAAGUUGUCAGCUAAGUGGCGCACGGGUGAGUAAUGUAUAGUUAACCUGCCCUCGAGAAAGGAAUAACAGUUGGAAACGACUGCUAAUGCCCUAUAUGCCUUUAAGACAUAAGUCUGCAAGGGAAAUGCUUUUGUGCUCGAGGAUGGGACUGUAUGGUAUCAGAUAGUUGGUGAGGUAAUGGCUCACCAAGUCAAUGACGCCUAACUGGUUUGAGAGGAUGAUCAGUCACACUGGAACUGAGACACGGUCCAGACUCCUACGGGAGGCAGCAGUGGGGAAUAUUGCACAAUGGAGGAAACUCUGAUGCAGCAACGCCGCUGGAGGAUGACACUUUUCGGAGCGUAACUCCUUUUAUAUAGGAAGAUAAUGACGGUACUAUAUGAAUAAGCACCGGCUAACUCCGUGCCAGCAGCCGCGGUAAUACGGAGGGUGCAAGCGUUACUCGGAAUCACUGGGCGUAAAGAGCGUGUUGGCGGAUAGAUAAGUUUGAAGUGAAAUCCAAUGGCUUAACCAUUGAACUGCUUUGAAAACUGUCUAUCUAGAAUAUGGGAGAGGUAGAUGGAAUUUCUGGUGUAGGGGUAAAAUCCGUAGAGAUCAGAAGGAAUACCGAUUGCGAAGGCGAUCUACUGGAACAUUAUUGACGCUGAGACGCGAAAGCGUGGGGAGCAAACAGGAUUAGAUACCAUGGUAGUCCACGCCCUAAACGAUGUACACUAGUUGUUGCGAUGCUAGACAUUGCAGUAAUGCAGUUAACACAUUAAGUGUACCGCCUGGGGAGUACGGUCGCAAGAUUAAAACUCAAAGGAAUAGACGGGGACCCGCACAAGCGGUGGAGCAUGUGGUUUAAUUCGACGAUACGCGAAGAACCUUACCUGGACUUGACAUAGUAAGAACUUUCUAGAGAUAGAUUGGUGUCUGCUUGCAGAAACUUAUAUACAGGUGCUGCACGGCUGUCGUCAGCUCGUGUCGUGAGAUGUUGGGUUAAGUCCCGCAACGAGCGCAACCCUCGUCGUUAGUUGCUAACAGUUCGGCUGAGAACUCUAACGAGACUGCCUACGCAAGUAGGAGGAAGGUGAGGACGACGUCAAGUCACCAUGGCCCUUACGUCCAGGGCUACACACCACUAAAAACCGUCG